GCCUGUUGGCAAUCCUUUAACCACCCAAUCUCACAAGAAUCCUUUUUUUUUUUUAUUUACUUCAGCCUUUAUCUGGUUUUCGACAAAGCAAGCAAAGAUCCCCCCCAGCCCCUGGUUUCUAAACCUUCCAAUGCGUUGCCAGCAAAGCUCUUGGUGAUUAUAGAAAAUAAAGCAAAGCUGCUGUGUACAGAUAAAAAAGAAGACUCCGAAAGACUGCGUCUUUGUGCUUGUCUCCAGUUUCCAGAGUUUACUUGCCCUUCCUUCCUAUCUUCUGUUUUACCUGUCCUUGUAACUUUUGAAGAGAUUGCACCACAGAAACCAAGUCCUGCCCACUCCAAAGCUUUAAGUCCUGAAGCCAGUUUGAAUGAGUACUUUGGACCUGAUCUGCCUGCUGUUGUGAUUAAAGACUGUAGUGUAAAUAACAGGUUAGUCCUAAUGCAGAGGAUGUCAUAGAGGACAAUGGAUAAAGAACUACUUGCAGUAGUUCACAUCCAGGCACAAGUGGCUGGGAUUCAUUACUCUGACCUAGGUCAAGUGUGCUGCUGUGGCUGGGAGGCCUCAUCAUUCCCCUUACCCUAAAGGUGCAGACCUGGUGUGCCGAGGAGGUGUUUCUCCAUGGCUUCCAGAGCUGCAUUUUCUGGGGCACUUCUGUACUGACUGUCCCUCAUGGCCAAGGAAGACCGUGAUAGUCAGGUGGAGAGGAAUUUCUGAUCUUUUCUGGCAACAGGUUGAAGUAUAUUCCUGGAUUGGUGCUCUGUGUCUCUCACAGCAUCAUGUGGGAGGCCAAGAUAAGCCUCCUUGUACCAGACUUCUCCCCUUGCCCUUUGUAUUCCCAUAGCAAUGGCUUGAGCACCUGCGUUCAAGGCUGUGUGCAAUACCUGGUCUGUGGCUUGCCCUGACCGUAUAGCUGUGCUGAAGGCAGAGGAGGAAUUGCAGGUGCUUAAGCUGCUACUUGUCAAAAGUUUACUGUUAAAUAUACAUAGACAGCAUGAAAAAUGGGGCAACUGGAACUCUGGGAGGCUCACAGCACACAGGCAGCUCAGACAUAUUCCUGGUUAACUUCCCACUUUGCUGGCCAUGUGUUUUUGGAAAGAAGGGCUCUGAAAUUUGUGCCAUCAAAUCAGAUAAAUGUAGCCUGAAGCUCUCCAGAGUUGUGGACACUCCUAUGGCUCUCAACCCAAACUGAGAAGUAAGAUUUGGGGUUAAAGGUACUUUCUGAUCUUGUGUCUCCUUCGCUGUCUCAUAUUAGCUGCCCUCUUUUCCACCCUAUUAACUGCAUGAGUGUACCCUUUUACCAGCUUAAAGGCCUUAAAGUAUGGUAUUUCAGAUGUGGAUGAAGGGCAAAUCAAUGUGCAGCUCUAAGUAAGUCACUCUGAUAAAUUCCUCUUCAGGGUGAAGUUGUAGAGGAGUGCUGCAUGGCUUUUUUGUGCCACUUACAGAAAUAUCAGAUAAAUAGUUGCAAUUUGUCAAAAAGCCAGUUACAGUAAUACAUUUGUGCCUGAAUACAAUAUUUCCCCUAGAUUUUAUGUAAGUUUACUUACAUUCAAUAAAAAAAAAAAAAAUCAGAAUGUGUUUACUUUC
rnacentral:lncRNA from 1 species